rnacentral:rRNA from 1 species
ACGGGUUUACACUCAUCACCCUGUGACAUACCUAUAACGUUGCCUCGGCGGGAACAGACGGCCCCGUAACACGGGCCGCCCCCGCCAGAGGACCCCCUAACUCUGUUUCUAUAAUGUUUCUUCUGAGUAAACAAGCAAAUAAAUUAAAACUUUCAACAACGGAUCUCUUGGCUCUGGCAUCGAUGAAGAACGCAGCGAAAUGCGAUAAGUAAUGUGAAUUGCAGAAUUCAGUGAAUCAUCGAAUCUUUGAACGCACAUUGCGCCCGCCAGUAUUCUGGCGGGCAUGCCUGUUCGAGCGUCAUUACAACCCUCAGGCCCCCGGGCCUGGCGUUGGGGAUCGGCGGAAGCCCCCUGCGGGCACAACGCCGUCCCCCAAAUACAGUGGCGGUCCCGCCGCAGCUUCCAUUGCGUAGUAGCUAACACCUCGCAACUGGAGAGCGGCGCGGCCACGCCGUAAAACACCCAACUUCUGAAUGUUGACCUCGAAUCAGGUAGGAAUACCCGCU